CCCCGCUCAGGGUCGCACCUGGAGCGUUUCCAAUACUCUACCAGUCUCGGCUAAGGGAGGGAGAGCCAAGCAGAGACAUAGCCAUUCCGUUCCUAGUUUGGCCAGUGGCUAGCGAGUGGAAGGCAAUCUGCUACAAGU
rnacentral:snoRNA from 1 species